AGCAAACUCGUAUCCCGCUUCUCUUUGUCUAGAAAGAGAGAGUCCCGGUUCUCUCUAAAAUCAAAAGUCCAUCCUCUCCGUUCCACUUUCGACUUUUCUUCUCCACGGUUCGGACUAGGCCCAAUCUACCACCUUCUGGCAAUCAAUUGUCUACAUGCACCCCAUGGCGCAACUCCUUAGCUGCAGAUCUAUUGUUACAAUGUGAAACCGAGGUAAAAAUCUCAACGAGUAACUCUCAUGUGCAACUUAGCCCGCGCAUGCGCGCCCCCCACACACCAUCACGUCAAAACGAUUCCGACGAUUACACGUGUCAUACCAGUAAUUUCGUUAUCUCAAUUAGAUAUGACCCACCUCGUCUCACUAUCACCAGCAAAUGGACUCCAUGCUCCGUCACAAGUGAUUGCGAAGCUCGACCACCAACAGUUCGGGCCAGUUGAUGUUAUUUAUCCCACUAUGUUUUUGCAUUUCCUAACCGAAUAUUUUGAGGCUGAGGACAUCGGUCUCUUCCAUGAAUAUCUCAAGGCAACAAACUGCAGUGCAUCACCAAUAACCACUGCUUGUGGCACCACAGUUCGUUGUUCACACAAUGAACUGUAAAAAUAACAUUAUUUAAGAUGGUGCCCUCUUUGCAGGGAAUGGGUGGAGACCAAUUUUUUUAUUCCAGAACCUGAUCUAUUUUCACUUUUACACUGUAAUUGUUAUAACGGAACGUUUGUUAGAAAAUCCCUCCACCUCAUGUAAUUUGAUCUCUUUAUGAUAAUGAAAUGCUAAAAAUUGUAUUAUUAAA